rnacentral:rRNA from 1 species
GAUGAACGCUGGCGGCGUGCCUUAUACAUGCAAGUCGAGUGGGUUUAGACCCACGGCCAACGGGUGAGUAACACGUAGGUCCUUUCCUUGUCACAGGAAUAACCCUCCGAAAGGAGGGCUAAUACCUGAUGUGAUCGCAAGAUUAAAGGGUAUCCGCAAGGAUUACCGGACAAGAAGAGGCCUGCGGCCUAUCAGCUAGUUGGCGGGGUAAAUGCCCACCAAGGCUAUGACGGGUAGCUGGUCUUAUGAGGAUGAUCAGUCACAGGGGCACUGAGACACGGGCCAAACUCCUGGGGGAGGAGGCAGGAGGAAAUUUGGGGAAGGGGGCAAAAGCCGGAGGCAGCGACGCCGCGGGCGGGAGGAAGGCCUGGGGGUAAAAAACCGUUUUUAUAAGGGACGAAUUUGGAGGUUACAUUAUAAAUAAGAUGUGGAUAACUCUGUG